UUGGGGAAUCUUUCGCAAUGGGCGAAAGCCUGACGGAGCAAUACCGCGUGAGGGAGGAAGCCUCUUGGGUUGUAAACCUCAAAAUUUAGGGAAGAAAAAAAUGACGGUACCUAAUGUAAGCAUCGGCUAACUCCGUGCCAGCAGCCGCGGUAAUACGGAGGAUGCAAGCGUUAUCCGGAAUCAUUGGGCGUAAAGAGUCCGUAGGUGGCACUUCAAGUCUGCUUUCAAAGACCGAAGCUCAACUUCGGAAAGGCAGUGGAAACUGAAGAGCUAGAGUAUAGUAGGGGUAGAGGGAAUUCCUAGUGUAGCGGUGAAAUGCGUAGAGAUUAGGAAGAACACCAGUGGCGAAGGCGCUCUACUGGGCAUAACUGACACUGAGGACGUCAGUAGAGGAAA
rnacentral:rRNA from 1 species